rnacentral:rRNA from 1 species
UACGUAGGGUGCGAGCGUUGUCCGGAAUUAUUGGGCGUAAAGAGCUUGUAGGCGGUUUGUCGCGUCUGCCGUGAAAGCCCAGGGCUUAACCCUGGGUCUGCGGUGGGUACGGGCAGACUAGAGUGUGGUAGGGGAGACUGGAAGUUCCUGGUGGUAGCGGUGAAAUGCGCAGAUAUCAGGAGGAACACCGAUGGCGAAGGCAGGUCUCUGGGCCACUACUGACGCUGAGAAGCGAAAGCAUGGGGAGCAAACAGG